rnacentral:rRNA from 1 species
AUGAACACUAACAUGUCCAACCCCAACCCCAACCUCAACCCCAAUGCCAACCCCUUCCCUUGGGGCAUUGGAUGGAGGGCUUUCUUCCUAGGGUGCUCGCUGGGUGACCGCACCAAGUUUGAGAACACCAUGGAAGUGUGCUCAAAUUGCAGCAGCAUGGAAGAGCUGGACAAAGAGUCGGACGUUGUGGUGAAGAAGGCGACGUUGAAGGAUUUGAAGACACUGAUUCCUGACCCAACAAAGGGCGCUAUGUCAGUCAACAUACUUCGCUGGGCCAUGAAUCAGGCUGAAUCCGGCGACGCUGGACAGAGAGCAAAGUGGGAAAAGUACAGGCAAUAG